UUUAAAAUUGAGUUUUCUCCCUCAUCUCUCACUCUCAGAGCUCAUACCAGCAAAUCGGCGACAUACCAGCAGAUCGGUGACAUACAUAGCAAAUCGAAAACUGCUGAAAGAGGAGGCUAUGGAGGCAAGAGAUAUGAGUAGCUUGAGUUUCAAAAAAAAGUUGCCCGUUCCCAUCAGAUGCUCCAUGACGCCUCAUGGAAGCUACACUACAGCAUCAGCAAAUGGCUCUGUUUCUCUCUCUAUGCUCUGUUUUGUUCAUCUUCUCUCUCUACAGCAUCUAUGCUUCCGCAGCUCUUCCUCCUCUUCAACCACAUCUUGAUGGCCAGUGGAAGCAAGAGCAAGAUGGUGAUAAUCAUGAUCAUGUUGCUUAAAGCUUUAGAGCCUUGAAUAGAUAACCAUAAGUGAUGAUGUACUUGGAUGAAGAAUAUAACUCAAUUUUGUCAUCACUUGAAUUGUGAAGCUUUGUGAAUUUCGGAAAUUUAGGAAUCAUUGUUAUUACAUUGUUCUGUACUUUAUAUCAUUGUCCAAGUAGAGAGAUUGGACAGUUGUCUCAUGUAUCAUUUUAGAUGGUCAAGAUCAAUUUUAAACAUUUUGUCGGAUCUCAUACAGCUAAGAUCAAGAAGGCAGCUUUUUUAAAGUAUCUUGAAUAUUUUGGUAA